rnacentral:rRNA from 1 species
GUUAAGCGACUAAGCGUACACGGUGGAUGCCCUGGCAGUCAGAGGCGAUGAAGGACGUGCUAAUCUGCGAUAAGCGUCGGUAAGGUGAUAUGAACCGUUAUAACCGGCGAUUUCCGAAUGGGGAAACCCAGUGUGUUUCGACACACUAUCAUUAACUGAAUCCAUAGGUUAAUGAGGCGAACCGGGGGAACUGAAACAUCUAAGUACCCCGAGGAAAAGAAAUCAACCGAGAUUCCCCCAGUAGCGGCGAGCGAACGGGGAGCAGCCCAGAGCCUGAAUCAGUGUGUGUGUUAGUGGAAGCGUCUGGAAAGGCGCGCGAUACAGGGUGACAGCCCCGUACACAAAAAUGCACAUGCUGUGAGCUCGAUGAGUAGGGCGGGACACGUGGUAUCCUGUCUGAAUAUGGGGGGACCAUCCUCCAAGGCUAAAUACUCCUGACUGACCGAUAGUGAACCAGUACCGUGAGGGAAAGGCGAAAAGAACCCCGGCGAGGGGAGUGAAAAAGAACCUGAAACCGUGUACGUACAAGCAGUGGGAGCACGCUUAGGCGUGUGACUGCGUACCUUUUGUAUAAUGGGUCAGCGACUUAUAUUCUGUAGCAAGGUUAACCGAAUAGGGGAGCCGAAGGGAAACCGAGUCUUAACUGGGCGUUAAGUUGCAGGGUAUAGACCCGAAACCCGGUGAUCUAGCCAUGG